rnacentral:rRNA from 1 species
AAACUUUCAACAACGGAUCUCUUGGUUCUGGCAUCGAUGAAGAACGCAGCAAAAUGCGAUAAGUAAUGUGAAUUUGCAGAAUUCAGUGAAUCAUCGAAUCUUUGAACGCACAUUGCGCCCGCUGGUAUUCCGGCGGGCAUGCCUGUUCGAGCGUCAUUU